CCUACGGGAGGCUGCAGUGGGGAAUAUUGCACAAUGGGCGCAAGCCUGAUGCAGCCAUGCCGCGUGUGUGAAGAAGGCCUUCGGGUUGUAAAGCACUUUCAGCGGGGAGGAAGGCGUUAAGGUUAAUAACCUUGGCGAUUGACGUUACCCGCAGAAGAAGCACCGGCUAACUCCGUGCCAGCAGCCGCGGUAAUACGGAGGGUGCAAGCGUUAAUCGGAAUUACUGGGCGUAAAGCGCACGCAGGCGGUCUGUCAAGUCGGAUGUGAAAUCCCCGGGCUCAACCUGGGAACUGCAUUCGAAACUGGCAGGCUAGAGUCUUGUAGAGGGGGGUAGAAUUCCAGGUGUAGCGGUGAAAUGCGUAGAGAUCUGGAGGAAUACCGGUGGCGAAGGCGGCCCCCUGAACAAAGACUGACGCUCAGGUGCGAAAGCGUGGGGAGCAAACAGGAUUAGAUACCCGGGUAGUC
rnacentral:rRNA from 1 species